GUGCUUGCUUUGGCAGAACAUAUACUAAAAAUGGAACACUACAGAGAUUAGCAUGGCCCCUGUAUAAGGAUGACAUGCAAAUUUGCAAAAUGUUCCAUAUUUUU
ensembl:snRNA U6 U6 spliceosomal RNA